UACGAAGGGGGCGAGCGUUGUUCGGAAUUACUGGGCGUAAAGGGCGCGUAGGCGGCGACUCUAGUCAGAUGUGAAAGUCCUGGGCUUAACCUGGGGACUGCAUUUGAUACUGGGUUGCUUGAAUUCGGGAGAGGAUAGCGGAAUUCCCAGUGUAGAGGUGAAAUUCGUAGAUAUUGGGAAGAACACCGGUGGCGAAGGCGGCUAUCUGGACCGACAUUGACGCUGAGGCGCGAAAGCGUGGGGAGCGAUCCGG
rnacentral:rRNA from 1 species